GUGAUCCUACGGCACCAAGUGGAAGGGCCGUGGCUUAACGGAUAAAAGCUACCCCGGGGAUAACAGGCUUAUCUUGCCCAAGAGUUCACAUCGACGGCAAGGUUUGGCACCUCGAUGUCGGCUCGUCGCAUCCUGGGGCUGAAGCAGGUCCCAAGGGUCCGGCUGUUCGCCGGUUAAAGCGGUACGCGAGCUGGGUUCAGACCGUCGUGAGACAGGUCGGUCUCUAUCCGUUGUGGGCGUUGGAGAUUUGAGGGGAGCUCUCUCUAGUACGAGAGGACCGAGAGGGACAGACCUCUGGUGUGCCAGUUGUCCCGCCAGGGGCAUCGCUGGGUAGCUAUGUCUGGAGGGGAUAAGCGCUGAAAGCAUCUAAGUGCGAAGCCCACCCCAAGAUGAGAUCUCCCAUCCUUUGCCGCAAGGUGAAGGAGUAAGACCGCAGGUAGACCACCUGCUUGAUAGGCGGCGUGUGUAAGCACAGUAAUGUGUUGAGCUUAGCCGUACUAAUGGUCGAGGGCUUGACCUG
rnacentral:rRNA from 1 species